CACUCCUACGGGAGGCAGCAGUGGGGAAUUUUGGACAAUGGGCGAAAGCCUGAUCCAGCAAUGCCGCGUGAGUGAAGAAGGCCUUCGGGUUGUAAAGCUCUUUUGUCAGGGAAGAAACGGUGAAAGCUAAUAUCUUUUGCUAAUGACGGUACCUGAAGAAUAAGCACCGGCUAACUACGUGCCAGCAGCCGCGGUAAUACGUAGGGUGCAAGCGUUAAUCGGAAUUACUGGGCGUAAAGCGUGCGCAGGCGGUUUUGUAAGUCUGAUGUGAAAUCCCCGGGCUCAACCUGGGAAUUGCAUUGGAGACUGCAAGGCUAGAAUCUGGCAGAGGGGGGUAGAAUUCCACGUGUAGCAGUGAAAUGCGUAGAUAUGUGGAGGAACACCGAUGGCGAAGGCAGCCCCCUGGGUCAAGAUUGACGCUCAUGCACGAAAGCGUGGGGAGCAAACAGGAUUAGAAACCCUGGUAGUCCCAUGAU
rnacentral:rRNA from 1 species